GAGAAACCCAGGGGAUCAAAACAGUGAAGGUGAUUUUAUAGAAAAGAGGGGGAGAAGCAGGUACAAUUCCAUUCAUGAGCCAUCUUAAACCCUAGGUUCACCACUGAAAUUCAUACCCAUGGAGUAGACCUAAAGAAGCAUUGCAAAGGCUUUGAGAACUGAGCUGUAAUGUAAACUAUAACUUUGUCAAGACUAAAUGCAUGGGAACAGAGCUCACAUCUUCUAAACUCUGAAAAUGUAACUGGACGUUGGAUCCCCACCCAUAGAGGGUGAACAGAUUUUGAAGACUAAACAUCAUCAGACUGACUGCCUGAUAACACAAAAAACAUUUGCAAGAUGAUUUUAAUGGGACUGAAAACCUCACAACAUAGUAUUGGAAGUGUUCAAGAUAUCAUCUAGAAUUACUCAACAUCUUAAUAACAUGGUGAAAAUAUUAGCAAUUCUCAAGAAAAGACAAUCAAAAGAUGACAAUUUGGAGAUGGCUCAGGUGCUGGAAUGAUCAGAAAAAAAACUUUAAAGCAGUAGGAUAAAUAUAUUGUAUGAAAUAUAGGCAGUAUUUUGGUCAGGUUUUCGUUACUAAGACAAAACUUCUGGUACACAAAACUGAAAGGAGAAAGGUUUACUUUGGUUAGGGUUCCAAAUGUUUCAGUUCACGGUCAGCUGGAUCCAAAACAGAAACAUCAUGGCAGACUGGCCUGGUGGAGGAGAGUUGUACUCUCAUGGAAGCAGUGAAACAGAGAGGAUUGUAAAGACAGCUGGAAAAAAAAAAAAAACGGCCAAUGACUAGAUAGAGUUCCCGAGGUCACACCUCCAUGACCUAUCCAGACAUAUCCAGAAGUGUGCUUUACUUAUUUCCUAGGUAUUUCUCAGCCCAAUUAAGUUGACCAUCAAGAUUAACCAUCAUAGGUAUACACUUUUUCCAGUAAUAUAAAGAAAGACUCUCUAAUUAGUAGACAGAAACUAUUUUGUUAACUUCUGGGAAGAUGGCAAAGCAGUAAGCAGAAACAAGAUUUGGAAUCUACACGCUGGAACAUAACAAUUUAGAGAAGAAAAAAAUGCAAGGAGGUGGAUCUCUGGGACCUGGGAAGGAUCUGCAGGGAAAACUAGAUCCCACAGAGAGAAUGAAGAGAUAGAGGUCAACACAAAAAAGGAGGGGGCAAUCUGCACUUUCUACCCAGCUCCCAGAUCAGGACAUGAGAGAGGAGGAUCGAAUCUACAGAGUCACAGUGAGUGUGGGUGACUCAAGAGGACUCCAGGGAGAAAUGCUCCAGUGGAACAGAGCAGUGGAUGCUGUGCACUACACCUGUGCUCUGAGAAGAAUCACUGAGAAGUGAUCAGUGAAUUCUACUAAAAUAUCAAAGGAGGCUAAGCUGGGCACUGUGAAGGGGGCCUCUUCUCCAACAAGCAAGGAGGAGCCCUUGAACGUACUGAUCAGUCUAGGAGGCUGUAAGGCCUGCAGUGAAGGAGCCACGUCUUCCUCUUCCCUAAUCCACCGCUCCAGCAUGAGACCUGCUCCUGGGAGGCCCUGCUCUCUUGGUGGCGGAACUCCUGAGGCAGGGAGAGGAGAAAUAUGAAUGAGAGUGUGUAUGUUUGAGAACAGAACACUGCUACCUGUGAGCUCGCCGCUUUGCAAAUAAAAGCGAGAAAGGCCCAUGAUGUUCCAGUUCCCCUGCACACCAUGAGGAAACCAGCAUAAAAAGAGGUAAGCACCUUUCCCCACCUGUCCACCUGAGCACCCAGGAGGUAGAGUCCCCUCCCCACCUCAGUGUGAGCCAGCAUGGUUGAGGGCGAACAAGCCCGCAUCUACUAGGAUGUGGCAGACAGCUGAAAACAAACAAAAAUUUCAACCUCAAAAGACCCCCCUCCCCCCGGCCAAAAAAAGGGAAACUUAUAACCUAUGACUUACGCUGUUGACAUUUUUUUCUCCAAUUCUCCCUUCUGGCAAGGGACUAUUUUUUGGCGGGGAGAAAGGCUGACAGAGACCCGCACGUCACCUAAGGCCACUACCAAGUAGAGAAUGACCCAGACGAAGGUGCAACAGAACUAGGCCCCCGACUUCACUGUUCACAUCUGAGCUGGCCGAAGACAGCAGGACACAUAAAAAGCCAGCAGGACUCAUGCCUGCCCGGCUGAGACUGGCUUUACCAUACUCCCAAAACUCAAAAGGGGAAGGAGACAUCAGAGACAAUACAGAGUCUCAGUGGACAGGACGGCAGGAAUUCACCAAUGGUUGUUAUACUGCAUAUUGUUGUCGUUCCCAUCAGUUGCUCAGAUUACCGUAUCAUUUUUA